AGAUGUAUGGGUAGCAGUUAGAAGAUUUGUGGCUGAGGCUUCGUUUGAGAUUAUUGGGAGAUUGCGUUACGUGCGGUGGAAAACGAUAAUGGGAAAAUAAUCUGUUUGUUUCUGUACGUAAUAUUGCGUUCCUGCGGUAAUCUGUUUGUUUCCGUACGUAAUAUUGCGUUUCUGCGGUAAUCUGUUUGUUUCCGUACGUAAUAUUGCGUUCCUGCGGUUAAUCGGUUACGAUAUAUUUUUUGUGGUUCUAUCGGAGAACGCAGAAGUAUAUACCUAUAUACUUUUUCUCAACUCUAUUCUAUCUAAUAGCGUUAGAUUGAUCUCAAUACCAAACUAAGUCUGAAUUGAAAGACACUUUGGUAGUAGGUUGGGGACU
rnacentral:lncRNA from 1 species